rnacentral:rRNA from 1 species
UACGUAGGGUGCAAGCGUUGUCCGGAAUUAUUGGGCGUAAAGAGCUCGUAGGCGGUCUGUCGCGUCUGCUGUGAAAACUCGGGGCUUAACCCCGGGCCUGCAGUGGGUACGGGGCAGACUAGAGUGCGGUAGGGGAGACUGGAAUUCCUGGUGUAGCGGUGAAAUGCGCAGAUAUCAGGAGGAACACCUAUUGCGAAGGCAGCUCGCUGGGACGUAACUGACGCUGAGACGCGAAAGCGUGGGGAGCAAACAGG